rnacentral:tRNA from 1 species
CGUUGUAGUAUAGUGGUGAGUAUUCCCGCCUGUCACGCGGGCGACCCGGGGUUCGAUCCCCGGCGCAACGG